UGGCGGGAUCCCUCGCGGG
rnacentral:snRNA from 1 species